rnacentral:lncRNA from 1 species
CAUUUUCUACAAGACCCCAAGAGAUGGACUUUCCUCUCCCCUUCCUCCUUUUAGAAAUGGCAUCCUUCAUCUCUGUCUAGGCAGGCCCAAUUAUCCAGAUACUUGGGGCUCCAAUAGGGUCUGAGUCAUUGGAACCAGGAACACCUGGCUGAAACAUGCCACAUAAUUAGAUUUUCUUUUUCUUUACCUUUUCUUUCUUAUUUUUAUAAGAGGCCCGGAAUUAGCCUCUUCGACUGGGGCGGAGUAGCUGGGGUGUGGGAAAGGAACACCUUCAUACAACUUCCAGCUUUCAGCCCCUUGGAGAGAUUUCCAAAUUCCCCAGAGCCUCUAGGACUUCCUUUCCUCGAUCUCUCGGCCACCUCCUCCUCCUUCUCCGAUCUGUUUUUUUUUCCCUCCUCCCACUGUCUUCUCUAUGGUUUAAUCAAAGUUCAGCGACUCCACUUGCCUCUCCUCUCAUUUCUUUCGGAAAGGGGAAACCAGACGACCCAGCGGCCACGGGACGAGUCGCCCCAACUCAACCCCAGCAGGACGCUGGAGGGGCCUCCCUUGCCCACCUCUCUUCGCUGGCACUGGCCUCCUGCACCCGGGUCUGCAGUCCCUCCGCCAUCUCACAAGUGUGCAGCCGCUAGGCCUGGGGGAUCCGAAUGACUGGGGCUGGAUAGGAAUGCCUUCGUGUUUCCCAAGACCCCCGGGCCUGCUCCACAAAGUUUGAAGGGUGGGUACACCCCGACCCAGGCAAGUUACUCCCCCAAACCCAUGACUGACUAAUCUGAUAUGACAAAAGCCCAUGAUGGAUUUGGUAUAUGUUAAUUCACAAUGCCCUUUCCUCCAGAAUUUAACUAUAAGUUAAUACACACCGGAAACCACGCGCAUGCACGCUCCUUAAUGGGCUUAGGUAUUAGCGAGUCCUAACGAUGCAUACAAAUGUGCUCUGCGCUCUGUAGACCCCUCAAGAUUUAUGGGCCUUGAGCUCUCUGAAGCUGUAAACAAGGAGAAAAAAAAAAGAGAAAGCGAAAGCGACUGGGGGGAAGAGACAGAGGCCUGACUCGCCCCUCCAGGUUUUGGAGAGAAGGGAUUCUUUAUGUAUUUUCCUUUCCUUGCAAGCUCGGAGCUCAGAGAUGCCCGGGAAGACGGGGGGCCCGAAUGGAAGCAGAAAAACACUUAUGGCCGCUGGGAAGUUGGGAGAGCCAGGCUGGGACUCCGGCAGGCCCAGGGAAAGUUCCCCUUCUAGGCUCUUUAUUAAAAAAUUUAAAAGGAGGAGUUGAGGCGCCUUGAAUUUUCCUUCGCGAGUUUGGAGACCAGCCGAUUUUUCACGAAGCAAGCAAAGACCGCGGUCCCGGAUCCUGCAACAUAUACCUCAUUUUCUCCAGGCCUCUCCACUUGCCCGAGCUCUCAGCCACCAGGAGACAGACGGAAGGGGCUUCUGGGCUGUGUUGGGAGCGGGCAUUGUCCCCUACCCACUCCUGCACAGUUUCCCAAAGUCCAGCCACCUCCGACCCUCCUUGGGGGAAAAAAUACCAGUACCCAGACACCUCUGCACCCUGUUAUAUGACUGGGCUUGCUUCAGGAAUAUCUUACAAAGAAGAAGGAGGAGGAGGAGGAACGGCUUGGAGUCAUGUUUACAUCUAGUUCUACUGAUCCGUUCACAUCUGGAGAGUUUAUUUAUAACUCCCUCUAUAACUCUCUGUUUGGAGGCACUGGUGGCUCUACUGACAGACUGAUGUCUAGGAAAUAUUGCUCUAUGUCUAAUGGUACCUAAAUGUGCUGUGGUUGUAUUUACAGAUUUACGUUUGAGGGAAAUAUAAUUAUUUCCAUUGUA